CAGAUCUGGAAACCUCGAACUUGACGAGCGAAGGAACCGGAGGGGGCGGUCGACGGCGGAGUCGCCGAUGCGAUCCUCGCCAAGUCGAAGCAGUUCGAUCGACUCGUACUGGCAAUAUCACUGAAGACCAGAUGUUGACGGUAGAUGGCCAUCCAAUUACUUUUUAUUAUCUUGUAAAGAGCCGCUGGCAAUGCAUGCUCAAACUCCUAGAAGCAGAGAUGAUAGACUCGAACAAUUUCAUCAAGGAAUUGAAUGCCUUAACGAAGAAACAGUAAAGAUAGCAAUGCUGGUGACAGCGCGGCUCUUUGUGAACCGGUGGCUUGGGAAAAGAGUAGCGGUCGGGACCCCACAAGUUUACAAGACCGGGCGGUGGCCGCACAUCCGACAACAUCUUGUCACGGCGCCAUGAGAUUUUUCUCGAGAUAUCAGGCGGUCCUGCUUGGGUCUCAGAUCCAACGACGGUGUUUGCGCACAGUCCAUGACCAUGGGGGUCCUCCGCCAUCACAUGGAGGUGGAUCGUCGUUUUCAGCUAGGUUGGCUGAAUCGAUCGGACACCAGCCAUGGCCUUCUUCUACUGAGAAGGCGUUUUCUUUUUGUUGUGGAUAUAUUAUGAUUGGCACUAUCACGAUGGUGCAAACAAAUAUCUAUCACGCCAGACAUAUUUGCACCUGUCGGAUCUUAUAACGUUGGCUUAAGAGACUUAUUAGGUUUGGAUCAUAUGAGUAGACAAAUAAUAAAUAUCGUAAUCAAAUUUCACCGGAUCUAAGAGUGAAAUUUACAAGUAUCAAAUAUAUUAUCAUCAUUCAUUCUGAGAUGAUAAUAAAUUUGCAAAGUUUUGAAGGUACUAUGGGUGAGAUAUAUAAUUCGA